AUGAAGCUGGAUUCGCUAGUAAUCGCGCAUCAGCCACGGCGCGGUGAAUACGUUCCCGGGCCUUGUACACACCGCCCGUCAAGCCAUGGGAGCCGGGGGUACCUGAAGUGCGUGACCGCAAGGAGCGCCCUAAGGUAAAACCGGUGACUGGGGCUAAGUCGUAACAAGGUAAC
rnacentral:rRNA from 1 species